AGUUUUCCCCCUUUCUCUCUCACUCUUUGUGCUCUGGAAAAGGUCCCAGGUAGCUGGCGCGGAGGAGAGCGGAGAGCCGGCAGAAAGGCGCGGAGGAAGGCGGCCGAAGCCCAGCUCAGGGAGGCCAGGGCGGGGCCCUACUAGCCUGAAGGAGACAAAUUAAAAUAAACGAAAGGAAAAUAAAUGGAAGACAAAGGAGCAAAUGCAGCGCUUGUUGAAAAUGUGUACCGAGCGAGGCGGAGCCGUGAGCGAACUCCCCGGGUUUUGGAAGCCGCUGGAUGCGCGGAAAGGACCCAGCAUUUAGGAUUUCUGCUCUUCUGGCGUCCAGAUUACAGCGGCAGCGGUGGCUGCGGCGGCGGCGGCAGCGGUGGGGCCACCCAGUUCUCAG